rnacentral:rRNA from 1 species
AUGGCGACGGGGUCUAUGGAGACGGCCCUCAUGAGCGAUCCGACGGCCAAGCUCCCCGACGACAUCCUGGUGGAGAUCAUCUCGCGCAUGCCGUACAAGUCCACCCGCUGCUGCAAGUGCGUCUCCACGCGCUGGCGGGACCUCAUCGCCCACCCCGACCACCGCGAGAAGCUUCCCCAGUCGACCCUCGCCGGCUUCUUCUAUAAAAUCUACGACCUAAAACGCCGUCCACCUGAUUCUCAUGGUUACCUAAGCGUCUCAGGGAACUGGUGCCCCAUUGACGCCUCCCUCUCGUUCCUGCCAAAAUGCGAGAAGAUUGACUUGUUGGACUGCUGCAACGGCCUCCUCCUCUGUCGAUGUUCCAAGCCUUAUCCUGAGGAACCGGAUUACCUGGUGUGUAAUCCUGCCACUGAGAAAUGGGUAACCUUCCCUGCCAAUGAAUGGUCCUCGGAAUCAUAUGCUCGCCUGGGAUUUGAUCCGGCCGUCUCCUCCCAUUUCUAUGUGUUCGAGUUGGUACCUGCUGUGGCUUUAAAUUGGAAUUUGAAGUAUGAAUAUAACAUCGAAGAGGUGGGGAUCUACUCGUCCAAAGCUGGAGGCUGGACACAUCAAAUUGAGUGGGACGAUCCAAUUGAGAUACGCAACUUUUCAGGUGGCACAUUUCUCAGUGGGGUGUUGUAUUUAUGUUCCUAUAAUAAUUUGGUUGCAGUCAUCGACGUGGAGGGAAACUGUCGUUUCAUUCCUGUUCCUACUUUAAAUGAUGCUCGCUGUGGUCCUUAUAUUUAUGCAUCACGUGGACAAUUGUAUGUCGCAAAUUAUGGUGCUGCUGAAGUAUCAAUCUGGGUCCUUGAAGAUUCUUGUAGUGAAGAUUAUUGGACCUUGAAGCACAAUGCCAGCUACUUGCAACUGUUCGGUUCAAGCAGUAAGGAAUAUUACGGUGUUAUCUCAGCCCACCCAGAGGACGAUGUGCUAUUCAUAACUGUCGAAACUACAUUACCGGGGUGCCCAUAUCUUCCAUAUGUUCCUUUGUUCUCGGAGUCAUUGGCAAAUGGACACUAA